AGGUGCGGGGCUGUCCCUGCGCCCCCUCGCGUCGCCCCUUCCCCGCGGCGCUGCAGGCGCCGGAGCGGAGAGGCCAGAAGUUGGGACCGCGGGGUUCGCGUUCUUUGACGUGUGAGUCUGGGAGGUGUGGAGUUGCGUUGGCGGCGGUUGUUUUGCACGCGGGCGACGCCGCUUCCCUGGACCACCAGCCGCCUGCAGCGGGCGUUUAGACGGGGACUUCCGUGCCCUUUCGAAAGCUCUGGAGGGGUGGCCCCAAAAUGCUAUAGAAAGCCACAAAAAAAACUGAUAAACCCAGACAAGAUGAUAAAGAUGAUCUAGAUGUAACAGAGCUCACUAAUGAAGAUCUUUUGGAUCAGCUUGUGAAAUACGGAGUGAAUCCUGGUCCUAUUGUGGGAACAACCAGGAAGCUAUAUGAGAAAAAGCUUUUGAAACUGAGGGAGCAAGGAACAGAAUCAAGAUCUUCUACUCCUCUGCCAACAAUUUCUUCUUCAGCAGAAAAUACAAGGCAGAAUGGAAGUAAUGAUUCUGACAGAUACAGUGACAAUGAAGAAGGAAAGAAGAAAGAACACAAGAAAGUGAAGUCCACUAGGGAUAUUGUUCCUUUUUCUGAACUUGGAACUACUCCCUCUGGUGGUGGAUUUUUUCAGGGUAUUUCUUUUCCUGAAAUCUCCACCCGUCCUCCUCUGGGCAGUACCG
rnacentral:sRNA from 1 species